rnacentral:rRNA from 1 species
AUUGAACGCUGGCGGCAUGCUUACACAUGCAAGUCGAGCGGCAGNGGNGGGCAAUCCUGGCGGCGAGCGGCGAACGGGUGAGUAAUACGUCGGAACGUGUCCGUAGCGGGGGAUAACCUGUCGAAAGAUAGGCUAAUACCGCAUACGACCUACGGGUGAAACGGGGGACUCUCGGGCAACUGAGGGCCUCGCACUGUUGGAGCGGCCGAUGUCGGAUUAGUAGUUGGCGGGGUAACGGCCCACCAAGGCGACGAUCCGUAGCUGGUCUGAGAGGACGAUAGCCACACUGGAACUGAGACACGGUCCAGACUCCUACGGGAGGCAGCAGUGGGGAAUUUGGACAAUGGGCGCAAGCCUGAUCCAGCCAUGCCGCGUGGGUGAAGAAGGCCUUCGGGUUUAAAGCUCUUUCGGCGGGGACGAAACGGUCCGUGCCAACAUCACGGACUAAUGACGGUAUCGCAGAAGAAGCACCGGCUAACUACGUGCCAGCAGCCGCGGUAAUNCGUAGGGUGCGGCGUUAAGCGGAAUUACUGGGCGUAAACGUGCGCAGGCGGCGCCGUAAGNCAGAMGUGAANCCCCGGNCUUAACCUGGGAACNCGUUUGGA